rnacentral:rRNA from 1 species
AUUGAACGCUGGCGGCAGGCCUAACACAUGCAAGUCGAACGGUAACAGGAAGAAGCUUGCUUCUUUGCUGACGAGUGGCGGACGGGUGAGUAAUGUCUGGGAAACUGCCUGAUGGAGGGUGAUAACUACUGGAAACGGUAGCUAAUACCGCAUAACGUCGCAAGACCAAAGAGGGGGACCUUCGUGCCUCUGGCCAUCGGAUGUGCCCAGAUGGGAUUAGCUAGUAGGUGGGGUAGCGGCUCCCCUAGGCGACGAUCCCUAGCUGGUCUGAGAGGAUGACCAGCCACACUGGAACUGAGACACGGCCCAGACGCCUACGGGAGGCAGCAGUGGGGAAUAUUGCACAAUGGGCGCAAGCCUGAUGCAGCCAGGCCGCGUGUAUGAAGAAGGCCGUCGGGUUGUAAAGUACUUUCAGCGGGGAGGAAGGGAGUAAAGUUAAUACCUUUGCUCAUUGACGUUACCCGCAGAAGAAGCACCGGCUAACUCCGUGC